GCAGAAUCCUAUAAGAGUCUAGGAUCACUUGGACUCUUCACCCCACCUCUUUACAUGCCUAUAAAAAGGAUUUUUGUGAUUUCUUUUAUGUGUGUGAGAUACUAGAAGAGAGAUCUUCACGUGGUAGAUGUUUGGGCAUGGUUCAUGGUGUGAAAAAUAGAGAGGAGGAUCCUCUCUCUUGGGGUAUGCGCAAAAAUCUAAAUUUCAUAUUUUUGAUUCUAAAGGAUUGGG
rnacentral:lncRNA from 1 species